GUAAGGAUACCAGAGUGGUUAAUGGGGCGGUCUGCAAAACCGUUUUUCGCUGGUUCGAAUCCAGUUCCUCACU
rnacentral:tRNA from 1 species